rnacentral:rRNA from 1 species
CACGUAGGGUGCGAGCGUUGUCCGGAAUUAUUGGGCGUAAAGAGCUCGUAGGCGGUGUGUCGCGUCGGCCGUGAAAACUUGGGGCUUAACUCUGAGCGUGCGGUCGAUACGGGCAUCACUUGAGUUCGGCAGGGGAGACUGGAAUUCCUGGUGUAGCGGUGAAAUGCGCAGAUAUCAGGAGGAACACCAAUAGCGAAGGCAGCUCGCUGGGACGGUACUGACGCUAAGGCGCGAAAGCGUGGGGAGCGAACAGG